rnacentral:lncRNA from 1 species
UCCCAACCCUCAGUCCCCUCAUCCCACCCCUGUACGCAUCCCAUAAUUCCCCAAAGCACACACGCCCCACACCCCAUGCCCCACGCCCUUAACACUGCCCUCCCCCCAGCACACACAACCCUGAACAGCUGGGAGGACUCGCGUGUCUAGCUUCUAAGCCCCCGCAGAGAUAUGGGAGACCCCGUGGCGGAGCUCGCUGUGGCUGGGGGUCACGGCUGGCCCUGCUUCCUCCAG